AAGUGCUCGAAAUAGAAGGUUUGUCGCAUCGCAUAUCACGAUUUGGCAGGUUACACCAAUAGCCCGCAAACAAAAGGGACCACCCGAUCUGUUCUCGGAUAACCGCAUGCAACGCGAGCACGUUUGACUUCAUUCCAAUCAAUACACCAAGUUCCCUAUGAGCUAUCGCAAGACUUGCACGUAACAUCCGUAUAGUUUGGAGAGAUAGAUUUGCUACGAGAGUUGCGAAUUCCAAGAAACAAGAGUUAUACGGCAUAAGCUAGUGAUCUCCGACGACAGAUUAAGCCACA